GGCCGAGGGCACGUCUGCCUGGGUGUCACGCA
rnacentral:rRNA from 1 species